UGCCAGCCGCCGCGGUAAUACGUAGGGUGCAAGCGUUAAUCGGAAUUACUGGGCGUAAAGCGUAUGUAGGCGGUUUGAUCAGUCGGAUGUGAAAUCCCCGAGCUUAACUUGGGAAUGGCAUUCGAAACUAUCAAGCUAGAGUAGGCUAGAGGAAAGGGGAAUUCCGCGUGUAGCAGUGAAAUGCGUAGAUAUGCGGAGGAACACCAAUGGCGAAGGCACCUUUCUGGGGUCAUACUGACGCUGAGAUACGAAAGCGUGGGGAGCAAACAGGAUUAGAUACCCUGGUAGUCCACGCCCUAAACGAUGUCAACUAGUUGUUGGGAGGGUUUAACCUUUCGGUGACGAAGCUAACGUAUUAAGUUGACCGCCUGGGGAGUACGGCCGCAAGGUUGAAACUCAAAGAAAUUGACGG
rnacentral:rRNA from 1 species